rnacentral:rRNA from 1 species
UACGUAGGGACCAAGCGUUGUCCGGAAUCAUUGGGCGUAAAGAGCGUGUAGGCGGCUUGUUAAGUCUUGCGUGAAAUCUCGGGGCUCAACCCCGAGCGGUCGUGAGAAACUGGCAGGCUAGAGUGCGGGAGAGGAGAGUGGAAUUCCCGGUGUAGUGGUGGAAUGCGUAGAUAUCGGGAGGAACACCAGUGGCGAAGGCGGUUGCCUGGGGCUUUGCUGACGCUGAUGCGCGAAAGCGUGGGGAGCGAUCGG